rnacentral:lncRNA from 1 species
GCUAUUGCCGCUUCCUGUUUGGACUAGGAGCCCCGCGGUCGCAAAUUGCGAGAAUUUGGGAAGGGAAUCUUUAUCUUCUCGUCUAGUUCUCCGAGGUUGAAGGCUCGGCCUGCUCAGAGAAGGAAACUGAGGUCCACCGAGUUGGAGAAACCUACUCAACACCAGUAGGACUAAGCUAAUGAGAGCUUUGACUUGCUUAAACGUUGGGCAGGAAAGCAGAAGAGAAAAGGGAAGUGGAAAUCAAAACAACAGAGAAAAGAAAAUGCACAUAUUUGGGAAAUAGAACAUGUUACUAACAUCUGUGUCACAUAAUAAUCAGUGGACUAACUUCUUCAGUGCUUAGAGUGUGAGAAAAAUGGCAAAUAUGAAUAGUGAUUCUAGGCAUCUUGGCACCUCUGAGGUAGAUCAUGAAAGAGAUCCUGGACCUAUGAAUAUCCAGUUUGAGCCAUCGGAUCUAAGAUCCAAAAG